rnacentral:rRNA from 1 species
ACGAACGCUGGCGGCGUGCUUAACACAUGCAAGUCGAACGGAAAGGCCCUGCUUUUGUGGGGUGCUCGAGUGGCGAACGGGUGAGUAACACGUGAGUAACCUGCCCUUGACUUUGGGAUAACUUCAGGAAACUGGGGCUAAUACCGGAUAGGAGCUCCUGCUGCAUGGUGGGGGUUGGAAAGUUUCGGCGGUUGGGGAUGGACUCGCGGCUUAUCAGCUUGUUGGUGGGGUAGUGGCUUACCAAGGCUUUGACGGGUAGCCGGCCUGAGAGGGUGACCGGCCACAUUGGGACUGAGAUACGGCCCAGACUCCUACGGGAGGCAGCAGUGGGGAAUAUUGCACAAUGGGCGGAAGCCUGAUGCAGCAACGCCGCGUGCGGGAUGACGGCCUUCGGGUUGUAAACCGCUUUCGCCUGUGACGAAGCGUGAGUGACGGUAAUGGGUAAAGAAGCACCGGCUAACUACGUGCCAGCAGCCGCGGUGAUACGUAGGGUGCGAGCGUUGUCCGGAUUUAUUGGGCGUAAAGGGCUCGUAGGUGGUUGAUCGCGUCGGAAGUGUAAUCUUGGGGCUUAACCCUGAGCGUGCUUUCGAUACGGGUUGACUUGAGGAAGGUAGGGGAGAAUGGAAUUCCUGGUGGAGCGGUGGAAUGCGCAGAUAUCAGGAGGAACACCAGUGGCGAAGGCGGUUCUCUGGGCCUUUCCUGACGCUGAGGAGCGAAAGCGUGGGGAGCGAACAGGCUUAGAUACCCUGGUAGUCCACGCUGUAAACGGUGGGUACUAGGUGUGGGGUCCAUUCCACGGGUUCCGUGCCGUAGCUAACGCUUUAAGUACCCCGCCUGGGGAGUACGGCCGCAAGGCUAAAACUCAAAGGAAUUGACGGGGCCCCGCACAAGCGGCGGAGCAUGCGGAUUAAUUCGAUGCAACGCGUAGAACCUUACCUGGGUUUGACAUGGAUCGGGAGUGCUCAGAGAUGGGUGUGCCUCUUUUGGGGUCGGUUCACAGGUGGUGCAUGCCUGUCGUCAGCUCGUGUCGUGAGAUGUUGGGUUAAGUCCCGCAACGAGCGCAACCCUUGUUCACUGUUGCCAGCACGUUAUGGUGGGGACUCAGUGGAGACCGCCGGGGUCAACUCGGAGGAAGGUGGGGAUGACGUCAAGUCCUCAUGCCCCUUAUGUCCAGGGCUUCACGCAUGCUACAAUGGCUGGUACAGAGAGUGGCGAGCCUGUGAGGGUGAGCGAAUCUCGGAAAGCCGGUCUCAGUUCGGAUUGGGGUCUGCAACUCGACCUCAUGAAGUCGGAGUCGCUAGUAAUCGCAGAUCAGCAACGCUGCGGUGAAUACGUUCCCGGGGCUUGUACACACCGCCCGUCAAGUCAUGAAAGUUGGUAACACCCGAAGCCGGUGGCCUAACCGUUGUGGGGGAGCCGUCGAAGGUGGGACUGGUGAUUAGGACUAAGU